CUGAAUUACCGGUAGUAACACCUGCCAAUGAAAAAUGGAACUAAGAAAAGGAGGAUUCUUCUAAAUAUUUUCAUAUAGGAGGUCGUGAUUUGUGUACAUUUCUUCGUUUCUUCCAUUAUACAAAAAUAUAUCAGCAAUAACAAUGGACUCAUAGAGUAAGAAAUUAAAUUUGAGAUCGAAUAGUACUACUUUUUCUAGUGUGAACAGUGUUUGAAUAUAAGAAAAACAUCAGAAACUGAGAAAAUUAGUUUUAGAUUAUGUUGGUGAUUCGGAGCGACCAAUUCGCAAAGGAUGUGCUGUUUUCGAAGCUAAACAUGUUAUUUGUAUAGGCUACAUAGAAAAAUCAUCGGAUUAUUUGAUAAUAACGGGAUUCGUAAGAUAAUCAUCUCAUCCGAGAGAACUUCCGCAUAAAGUAGUUUUAAAAAUAACAAAUAAUGUAUCUCGGUGGGCUUUAAAUUGCUCGUGCAAAGCGGGAACUGCUCGCUGUAAGCAUAUAGUUGCUUGUUUGCUAGAACUUAAUCGUACGAAUAAAUGCGAAUAUCUCUCGUGUACUACUGCAACUCAAGCAUGGGAUGCAACUAAAAGCGAGAAAUUCAAGUGGGAGGCAAAGCGAGUAUGUGAACUUUGUUGUAUAAAACAUUACACUCGUUUAAAUCCCGAGAAUGUCAAUAUGAAAGAUCAGAUUAUUGCAGAAUCUUUUGAAAAUACUAAUCCUGGUUUUUAUCUAAUCCUGAUCCUGGUUUUUAUCUGAACUCCAGUUGCAACAAAUUCUUCAAUCGCGAAACACAAAAGCGAGCGAGAAAUGAAU